UACGUAGGUGGCUAGCGUUGUCCGGAUUUACUGGGCGUAAAGAGCGCGCAGGCGGUCGUUCAAGUCGAGUGUGAAAGCCCCCGGCUCAACUGGGGAGGGUCACUCGAUACUGAUCGACUCGAAGGCAGGAGAGGGAAGCGGAAUUCCCGGUGUAGUGGUGAAAUGCGUAGAUAUCGGGAGGAACACCGGUGGCGAAGGCGGCUUUCUGGCCUGUUCUUGACGCUGAGGCGCGAAAGCUAGGGUAGCAAACGGG
rnacentral:rRNA from 1 species